UGAUAGCCCUAUCAAAAGAAGUACCCCCAAGUGGAUCUCCUCUGUAUGUCAGGUCUGUCUGAAGAGCCUAGCCUUUUGACUGUUUUGCUCUGGGCAAAAGUGAAAUGUUGCAUUCUUCAAAUCCACUUGCUAUGACUUGAACACUGGAUCACUCUUCAAGCAGAAGAAAUUUUUUGAGAUUAUCUUCAGGUGACUGACCAUUUC